rnacentral:tRNA from 1 species
GCCGGAGUGGUGGAAUGGUAUACACGCACGACUCAAAAUCGUGUGACCUAAAAAGUCAUGGAAGUUCGAAUCUUCUCUCCGGCA